AGAGUUUGAUCCUGGCUCAGGACGAACGCUGGCGGCGUGCCUAAUACAUGCAAGUCGAACGCUUCUUUUUCCACCGGAGCUUGCUCCACCGGAAAAAGAGGAGUGGCGAACGGGUGAGUAACACGUGGGUAACCUGCCCAUCAGAAGGGGAUAACACUUGGAAACAGGUGCUAAUACCGUAUAACAAUCGAAACCGCAUGGUUUUGAUUUGAAAGGCGCUUUCGGGUGUCGCUGAUGGAUGGACCCGCGGUGCAUUAGCUAGUUGGUGAGGUAACGGCUCACCAAGGCGACGAUGCAUAGCCGACCUGAGAGGGUGAUCGGCCACAUUGGGACUGAGACACGGCCCAAACUCCUACGGGAGGCAGCAGUAGGGAAUCUUCGGCAAUGGACGAAAGUCUGACCGAGCAACGCCGCGUGAGUGAAGAAGGUUUUCGGAUCGUAAAACUCUGUUGUUAGAGAAGAACAAGGAUGAGAGUAACUGUUCAUCCCUUGACGGUAUCUAACCAGAAAGCCACGGCUAACUACGUGCCAGCAGCCGCGGUAAUACGUAGGUGGCAAGCGUUGUCCGGAUUUAUUGGGCGUAAAGCGAGCGCAGGCGGUUUCUUAAGUCUGAUGUGAAAGCCCCCGGCUCAACCGGGGAGGGUCAUUGGAAACUGGGAGACUUGAGUGCAGAAGAGGAGAGUGGAAUUCCAUGUGUAGCGGUGAAAUGCGUAGAUAUAUGGAGGGACACCAGUGGCGAAGGCGGCUCUCUGGUCUGUAACUGACGCUGAGGCUCGAAAGCGUGGGGAGCAAACAGGAUUAGAUACCCUGGUAGUCCACGCCGUAAACGAUGAGUGCUAAGUGUUGGAGGGUUUCCGCCCUUCAGUGCUGGCAGCUAACGCAUUAAGCACUCCGCCUGGGGAGUACGACCGCAAGGUUGAAACUCAAAGGAAUUGACGGGGGCCCGCACAAGCGGUGGAGCAUGUGGUUUAAUUCGAAGCAACGCGAAGAACCUUACCAGGUCUUGACAUCCUUUGACCACUCUAGAGAUAGAGCUUCCCCUUCGGGGGCAAAGUGACAGGUGCUGCAUGGCUGUCGUCAGCUCGUGUUGUGAAAUGUUGGGUUAAGUCCCGCAACGAGCGCAACCCUUAUCCUUUGUUGCCAGCGGUCCGGCCGGGAACUCAAAGGAGACUGCCAGUGAUAAACUGGAGGAAGGUGGGGAUGACGUCAAGUCAUCAUGGCCCUUACGACCAGGGCUACACACGUGCUACAAUGGCGCAUACAAAGAGAAGCGACCUCGCGAGAGCAAGCGGACCUCAUAAAGUGCGUCGUAGUCCGGAUUGGAGUCUGCAACUCGACUCCAUGAAGUCGGAAUCGCUAGUAAUCGUGGAUCAGAAUGCCACGGUGAAUACGUUCCCGGGCCUUGUACACACCGCCCGUCAA
rnacentral:rRNA from 1 species